UUCGGGUCGUAAAGCUCUGUUGUUAGGGAAGAACAAGUACCGUUCGAAUAGGGCGGUACCUUGACGGUACCUAACCAGAAAGCCACGGCUAACUACGUGCCAGCAGCCGCGGUAAUACGUAGGUGGCAAGCGUUGUCCGGAAUUAUUGGGCGUAAAGCGCGCGCAGGCGGUCUUUUAAGUCUGAUGUGAAAGCCCACGGCUCAACCGUGGAGGGUCAUUGGAAACUGGAGGACUUGAGUGCAGAAGAGGAGAGUGGAAUUCCACGUGUAGCGGUGAAAUGCGUAGAUAUGUGGAGGAACACCAGUGGCGAAGGCGGCUCUCUGGUCUGUAACUGACGCUGAGGCGCGAAAGCGUGGGGAGCAAACAGGAUUAGAUACCCUGGUAGUCCACGCCGUAAACGAUGAGUGCUAGGUGUUGGGGGGUUCCACCCUCAGUGCUGAAGUUAACACAUUAAGCACUCCGCCUGGGGAGUACGACCGCAAGGUUGAAACUCAAAGGAAUUGACGGGGGCCCGCACAAGCAGUGGAGCAUGUGGUUUAAUUCGAAGCAACGCGAAGAACCUU
rnacentral:rRNA from 1 species